GGGGAAUAUUGCACAAUGGGCGAAAGCCUGAUGCAGCAACGCCGCGUGAGUGAUGAAGGCCUUCGGGUUGUAAAGCUCUGUCUUUUGGGACGAUAAUGACGGUACCAAAGGAGGAAGCCACGGCUAACUACGUGCCAGCAGCCGCGGUAAUACGUAGGUGGCGAGCGUUGUCCGGAAUCACUGGGCGUAAAGGGCGCGUAGGCGGUUAAUUAAGUCAGGUGUGAAAACUUUGGGCUCAACCCAGAGACUGCACCUGAUACUGGAUAACUUGAGUGCAGGAGAGGACAGUGGAAUUCCUAGUGUAGCGGUGAAAUGCGUAGAUAUUAGGAGGAAUACCAGUGGCGAAGGCGCCUUUCUGGACUGUAACUGACACUGAGGUACGAAAGCAUGGGGAGCAAAC
rnacentral:rRNA from 1 species